ensembl:lncRNA GAS5 growth arrest specific 5
CUUUUCGAGGUAGGAGUCGACUCCUGUGAGGUAUGGUGCUGGGUGCAGAUGCAGUGUGGCUCUGGAUAGCACCUUAUGGACAGUUGUGUCCCCAAGGAAGGAUGAGAAUAGCUACUGAAGUCCUAAAGAGCAAGCCUAACUCAAGCCAUUGGCACACAGGCAUUAGACAGAAAGCUGGAAGUUGAAAUGGUGGAGUCCAACUUGCCUGGACCAGCUUAAUGGUUCUGCUCCUGGUAACGUUUUUAUCCAUGGAUGACUUGCUUGGGUAAGGACAUGAAGACAGUUCCUGUCAUACCUUUUAAAGGUAUGGAGAGUCGGCUUGACUACACUGUGUGGAGCAAGUUUUAAAGAAGCAAAGGUAUAGCAGUUCCAAGUAUUUUUUUUUUUUUUUUAGACAAGAGUCUAGCUCUUGCCCAGAAUGGAGUGCAGCGGCACUAUCAGUUCACUGCAACCUCUGCCUCCCAGGUUCAAGGAAUUCUCCUGCCUCAGCCUCUUGAGUAGCUGGGAUUACAGGCAUGUGACACCAUGCCUGGCUAAUUUUGUACAGCUAUGUUGUCCAGGCUGGUCUCGAACUCUUGACCUCAAGUGAUACUGCCCGCACUGACCUCCCAAAGUGCUGGGAUUACAGGCGUGAGCCACCAUGCCCCGCCUCAAGUCUGGUUUUUAAGUGUUGUAAAGCCGAUACAAUGAUGAUAACAUAGUUCAGCAGACUAACGCUGAUGAGCAAUAUUAAGUCUUUCGCUCCUAUCUGAUGUAUCUGGCGGUAACAUUCUAGUUUAUGCCCCGAAAAGGGGAAUAUAGCCAUUCUAUAAUGUUUGGAGAUUUUGGAUUACUCCUAAUUGUAUGCAAGUUGUCUUACUGUGUAUUGUCCCUUAAUUUCAGGACUCAGAAUUCAUGAUUGAAGAAAUGCAGGCAGACCUGUUAUCCUAAACUAGGGUUUUUAAUGACCACAACAAGCAAGCAUGCAGCUUACUGCUUGAAAGGGUCUUGCCUCACCCAAGCUAGAGUGCAGUGGCCUUUGAAGCUUACUACAGCCUCAAACUUCUGGGCUCAAGUGAUCCUCAGCCUCCCAGUGGUCUUUGUAGACUGCCUGAUGGAGUCUCAUGGCACAAGAAGAUUAAAACAGUGUCUCCAAUUUUAAUAAAUUUUUGCAAUCCA